CUCCUGAUGCCUGUACGUUAGUUUAAAUCAGGAUUAAAAUAAUAUGAGUAUAAAUGCAUUGUGUUUCUGCUGAGUCAUCAUAGUGCUGUGAUUGGCUGCCAGAUGAUGACAUCAGCAGUUUGUCUGCACUUUGAACAGUGAUGUUGAACUUAAACCAACAUCAGUUUGUCCCUCGCAGACUGUUUGUACCGAUUCAGCUGAUAUCACCUCCUCACAGAUCGAUCAAUAUGUUUGUAUCUGAAGUUUGAUCACACAUUUCAUCAAAGAAAAAUCUUUUUACGCCUGUUUUCUUCACUGGACAUAAAAUAAACAAAAAAUACAACCACACACCUUCUGAAUUUGACUCUCUGAGAGGUCUUUGAGCUUUAAGCUGAAAAUCUCCACUUUUACUAUCUGUGUUUUGCAGAAAUGUACAUAUCUGACAUUUAUUCUGGUGACUGGGUCGGGUAAGUCAAGAGGCAAAUGGUUUUGUCAUCAUUAAACACGGCGAGCAGUUCCAACAAUCUGCCCGGAUAUAUUCAAAAUGACAAACAUUUGAGGCUUUUCCAGCAGUUUUGGCCACGACGAUUUGCUUUUCGAUCAGCAGUUUUAUAGGAGAAGCUCUACAAUGUUAAAGUAACAGGUUUUGGUGACCGUUCAGCGUGACGGUUGGCUGUGUCGUCUUUAUAAUGACGUAUUUCCACAGUCUGAUAUUUCAGACCUUGCAGCCCAAAAAGCAUUUUCCCGUCAGAGCUCCAUUAUAAAAGAGAUGCCUGUAAAACUGCAGACACUGAGCAAGAACAGCCGACAUCGCCUGUGACUCUUUCUGUUCUGUGAGUUUGAUCCAUGAAGGUUUUCUAUUUGUAAAACCUCCAAUGAGCUGAAAACAGCAUCUUAAAUCUGUGACGUCAUCACACUGUAAAGUAUACAUCAUGAACUAAAACUGAAGUGGCAACUUCACAAUAAACAUUAUCUUUAUAAAUGGUUUAUGAAGACCUUCAUUGUUUGUUAACUGUGCAGUGACAACUCACUCAAGUUUAAUUAUCUAUUACUUUACCUUUUCUUAAUGAAAGUUAGUUUUAAGUGUUACUGAUAAUUGUAGGCAGGUACCAUCACAGAAACAUGUAGGGUUACAACUAACAAUGAAUUUGAUCACAGUUUGAUCUUCUGCUUAAUUACACCGGUCAGCUGUCAGCUGGUUUCUGCUGAAUGUUCGUGUCCCGUAAUUGUGUUUUAAUUUUUAUCCUCGCGCUAAAAUAUCAAUCAAUAUGUUAUUUGUGUCUGCGGACCCCCCUUCAGUUCCCACUAAUUUGGACUAUUCCAUCGUACUGCGCAUGUGCAGAAAUGAUUCAGGAAGUCAGUAGCCAAACAAAGUUGAUGGCGCGAAAAACAAACAACAAUGAAGCGAAGUUACUGCAGCGGGACAGAAAAACGGAGGAAGCGGCAGGAAAACAGAAGGUUUGUGGCGAAACUACCGAAGGUGACGAGCUUUUUCACGGCGGCCAUUACAGAUGACAACGUUACUGAACGGCAGUAAGAAGGCGGCGCUCCUUGUGUUAGCAUGAGCGGUGCUAACGGGGAGGAGCUGCCCGCUGCUGCAGUGUCAGCCCGGGGAACAUGGCGGCGCUGCUGCCGCUUCAUGCUGGAGGAGGCUGCGGCUGAAGAGCCGAGAUCCUCCAUGAGGAGAACAACUGGAACAAAAUGGCGGUGGGCAGGAACAGCAGCGUGUGAAUAAGCAGCACCAGAACUAAUGACCCAAUGAUUCGUCGUUUUUCAUCAGAGGGGACACGGCUGGCAGACAGAGCUUUGAGAGUGCCACCCAGGAAGAAUAUCAACAGUGGGAUGGGGAGGAGGAUGUAAGUGCCUGCUAUGGUUAUGGGCACCUUCUGAUAAUUUGAGUAAAACCAAAAUAAGCGAAAGAUUAGAGCAACGACCCAGAGCACAGCACACACCACCACAGAGAUCUUCAUAGGCCGCCUGCAGCGGUACCACAGUGGACAGGUGAUGACCAAAUAUCUGUAACACAAGAUGGACACAGUGUUUGAGGAGCUUCAAAAUUUCAUAUCAAUAUAAGACGACAGAAGUACAAGCAUGCUGGAUUCAAAGAUGGGUACCUUUCCAUGGCAACACACACCAUGAAGCCAACGCUGGCCAGCAGGCCUAAAGAAUAUAAAAAAGAUCCGGCUUCAUCUAUCGUCUUAUCAUCAUGUCCUGACAGCCGAAUGAUCCUGCCACAGAACUGAAGGAGGUUGGAAACGAGAAGGUUGAUGACGUAGGUCGGAGCAACAUGAUUAACUCGAACCUGCAAGACAACAUUGGUGAAAGUCAACAAAUGGCUGUAAACAACAGGGAGGCAACAAUCUAUCUGCUGAACAUCUGUAUCUGUAUCUGCACCUGCCUUGUUGACCGCUGUCAGCAAAUCAGGAAAUGCAAUGGCCGAUGUUUAUCUGUCAGUUCACAUAAUUUAUGUUCUGGCACAUUAGUGAGAUGCUGUGUGACAUUCUUGACAUCAGUUUGUACAGGUGUGUAGGCACUAAACGGCUUUACUGUAAACUACUACAGUCAUGGUUAAAAGUUUACAUCUACUUGUAAAGAAAAUGUACAAGUGCAUCUCAAAAAUUAGAAUAACAUUCAAAAGUUUUUUUUUCGUAAUUUGAUUAAAAACACAACGUGAGAUAUUUCAAGCCUUUUUUGUUUUAAUUUUGAUGAUGUUAGCUUAUAGCUCAUGAAAGAAAUGUCGACCUUCUAAUUGAAGGAUGUUAAGUUGUGCACUCAAUACUUGUUCGGGGCUCCUUUUGUAUGAAUAAUUGCAACUAUGUGGUGCGGCAUGGCAACACAUCAUGGAUUCUCUGCCAGGUUCAGAUCAGACCAGUUCGCUGCCAAUCAGGAGUUUUGAUUUUCAUGAUCUUUAAAUUAUAAUCUUCCAAUUUAAAACAAAAAAUGGCUUGAAAUAUUUCAAUUCAUGCGUAAUGACUUUAAAAAAAAAAUAUAUAUUGGAAAAUAACCUCUCCAUGAUAAUCACUUUUUUAAAUGCAUCUGUAUAUCAUGGCAGACUUGAGUUUCAAUGGUUUCUACAACUCAUCUUUCUGUGAUGGAACGAGUGAAGCACAAACUACAAAAAACAUUCAUGAAGUUUGUUUCAGUAGUGAAUUUAUUAUAUGUCUUCUGAAAAAGUCACCAAAUCUGCAAUUAUUUUAUUUGGUCCAUUUUUUCAGAUGAAUUUUAAUAGGUUAAUAGAUUUACUAAGCCUUUAAAGCGUAUGCUUGGCUGAUAUGACCAUUUUUAUCAACAUAUCUCAGCUCCGCCUGCUCCCUCUCUCUCUCGCUCUUUUGUCAAAUCAUCACUUUAUGUCCUUACAUGUUGCUUCCUAAUCGAUUGAUAACUAUGCUUAAGACCACAUUACAGUCAUUUUUUUUAGUAAUAUUUGAGUCAUAGCCUAGCAUGUUUAUUGGUGAAGUAAAUAUUUUGUAUAUUAAUGAAAAUCUCAACAACCACAGAAACAUUUGUCGAGGUGAAGAGCCGCCGUCUCAGUAAAUCAGACACUGAACA